rnacentral:ncRNA from 1 species
AAAGCUAAAAUAGAUUUGGACAAUUGUUUAGUAAUAAAUAUUUGUAUUAAAUUACGAUUGGUAACGGUGAGUGAACUGGGAAGAGUCCAGCGCUGAAUCACUUCUCCUCUGGGGUUGUGAGGUGUAGCGUACAGACCGUGAGCUUGGAUUGGCCCGCUUGUUCAAGUUUCCCUUGACCGGGGCUCCAGAGAAGGUGCAAGACCUGUCCAACGGGUGGUUGCCUAUCCAUCUUCGCGUGUCUUGGAGUCGGGUUGUUUGGGAUCGCAGCCCAAAGUAGGUGGUAAACUUCAUCUAAGACUGAAUACGGCCACGAGUCCGAUAGCGAACAAGUACCGUGAGGGAAAGUUGCAAAGCACUUUGAAGAGAGAGUUAAAGAGGACGUGAAACCGAUGAGAUGGAAACGGACAGAGCUGGCGUAUCUGGUCUGCAUUCAUCCGUGUGUUCUUGGGCGUUUGGAUUGCCAAUCUCCAGACUGGGAUGGUGUUCAUUCUGCUCAGGGGCUCAUGGAGCAUUUGCAGGCGGAGUGCGCUGAGAUGCUCGGGACAGCUGCAUGAGCUUGGCUUUGAGGCCAGCCCUUCGGGGUCUGGUACCCGGGCUGUGGGAGUGCUGUUUGUUCUGGGUGCUGAGUGUGUGCAAUGGCAACGGGUCCGUGUUGGUUUGAGCUGGUGGUUGGUGGCGGUCGCGUGCGACACGUGCCGGCAGUCAGUUCGGUCCUGCUCGGGCUCUCAUUGCAUGUUCUCGGUGUAAAAGCCGGUCAUCUGUCCGACCCGUCUUGAAACACGGACCAAGGAGUUUAGCGUGUGCGCGAGUCAUUGGGAGUUGAAAACCCAAGGGCGUAAUGAAAGUGAAGGUCUCCUUGCGGAGCUGAUGUGUGAUCUCGUGCACCCCGGUGUGCGGGCGCAACAUAGUCCCGUCCCGAUCGCAUGCGAUGGGGCGGAGACAGAGCGUACGCGCUGACGAACCGAAAGUGGACGAACUUACUUCUGACGGAGGAUAGACGCCGAGGAACGAACUGUUGGAGGACGUACGAGCUUUCUCUAAUUACUUUAAUAGUGUAGCGUACUAGAGUAAUUACGUAACGUAACUUCCCUUACCGAGGACGGACGGACGCCGACUUUAGUUUUCGGUCCGACCAAAAACCAAAAAACGUACGGCCCGUUCCGGGUUCCGGGGUAACCUACCGUAGGUUUGGGUUACGACCUUACGGAAACGAAAACCUUAAAACCGUAGGUCCUAAGACGUUCCGACCGGUACCGGUUUCGUUUACCGGGUAACCCGGGACGGUACGGUUCGUUUCCCUUUAACGGUAAGGGUUCUUCGUCCGGUUACCUUUACUAACCCUUUAACCGUUUCGUAAGGGUUAGGGUUCGGUUACCCGGUUACCGUUACGAACCCGUUAAACCUGGGUUGGGUUAGACGGUUACGGGGGUAAACCCGGGGGUAAAGGGAGGUAAGGUUAAACGGGGUUCCGGACCGGUUCCGGGAAAGGGGUACGGGGGACCUUGGAAAGGUAAAGUCCGGACCCUACGUACCGGUUACGGUAACGGGACGGGCCAGGACCGGAGGGCGGCCGAACGUUAAACGGAACGGACCGGACCGAACGGGCAACCGACGGAGGGGUUAGAGGGGUUAUGCUAUUCUUUAGCUUGGCGUGGUUGACUCUCCUGUUCCUGCUGUCGAGCUUGAUGUACUGUUUCGGAUAAGACGAGACGUCUUCUCUUCCUCUCGCCAUGUGGCCCGCAAGGAUAGGAGUGAACUGUAGUACUCCUUAAAUAAUGCGAAGUUUUUUUUGAGUAAUUUAAAAUUAACAAAUCACUAUCUUCGUUGCGCUCAACAGGUGGAAUGACGGCCAUGGGCCCAGAUGACGCCUCAGCAGAUGGGUCUGAAAAAUCAAAAUCGUCAGAACUAGUUUGCAUAAUACAAGUCUCAAAGCUUUGCCUCGAUUUUUGUCUGAAAACGAAGGCGCACUGCUCGUUGACGGACCAGCAUCGCCAUCGUUUGGCGUCGAAGCUGGGGAGCUGGGGUAUCAAAGCAAAUCUGACACGCUCAAGACGAAGGCCGAUGUCGUCAGCUCAGCAAUAGUAGAAGAAGCAGAACUUGGCACGAAUUGGCCCCUGCGGCUCUAAAAUAUUCUUAUUAAAAUUCGAACCGAUAAAAUCUCUUACUAAGACAUAUCUGUCAAGCAUCUCAAUUCUCGCUGCAUUUUGGAGUACAACUGCUCGAUGAUCUAUUAGCUGAGAUUGCAAUGAAAAAAUCGUUUGUUGUCCCUGAUUUGAAAAAUAUUGUUGGCCUGAAUUUGUUGCUGAGGCAAUAAAUUGAUUUGGGUAACUUAAAUAAUUAUUUGAGUCGUCAUUUGUUUCUUUGAAGUAGAAUAAUUAUUUGGAUCCAGGAUUUUCACACCCGAGAGUGUGGCUUCGCAGCAACCUCAAUCAUCUUGUAGUACUUGAUCGAACAUUUUUUAUUUUUUUUUGUUUUUUUGACAUAAUAGAUGGCAUUUGUGGGUAUCGGUACAUUAUUUGCAUUUGAGCAUAUUUUGAUAGAGAUGUACGGAAAAAAUGAAAAGGCCAUUUGUUUUCAUAAAGUUCGGCUCGCGGGGGUUGCGUUUGAAAGCACAACCAUCCGGUGCUACCAGUAAGAAAGGUGUUGGGUGACCAUCCCAUGCAGGGCUGGGCGAAACUCGGCACAUACCCGAAGCCGAAACUCGAAACGAAACAAAAAUUUUUCCCGAACCCGAAACACGAAACUCGAAACCUCAAAAUACCCGAAAUUUCGGAAACCGAAACCGUAAUAACUUCGUAUAGCAUACAUUAUACGAGUUAUACGAAAUGCCUCGCCAAUAGGCAUUCGCAAUUGAACAUUUCGACCUGAACUCAGACGUGAACACCCGCUGAACUUAAGCAUAUCAGUAAGCGGAGGAAAGAAACUAACGAGGAUUCCCGUAGUAACGGCGAGUGAACUGGGAAGAGUCCAGCGACUGAAUCACUUCUCCUCUGGGGUUGUGAGGUGUAGCGUACAGACCGUGUGAGCUCGUAAUAACUUCGUAUAGCAUACAUUAUACGAAGUUAUACGUAGAAUUAUUUUUUUUUAACUUUUUGUGGCAACGCUCUUGCAAUAGUUGGGUACUUGGCCGUAUUCUCUUAAGGUUGCCUCGUCGACUACUUUGAAAAAGAAUUAUUUUUUUUUAACUUUUUGUGGCAACGCUUUGCAAUAGCUUGGUACUUGGCUCUACUCUAUUAAGGAAGCCAAAUGCCUCGUCGACUAAUUUGAAAAAGAAUUAUUUUUUUUAAUUACUUUUUUGAACAUUUUAGUAGUUGAAGA